rnacentral:ncRNA from 1 species
ACAUGUAAAUUUUUGUAAAUAAUUUUAAUCUAAAUGAUUAAUGUAAGUACUUUACAGUAAUUAAAUUUAUAAAUCAAAUAAUUUUGGAUUUAGAAAUACUUAAAUAAUAUUGGUUAAAAUUGUGCCAGCAUCCGCGGUUAGACAAUUUAAUAUAAAUAAAUAUUUUCAGUUUUAUAGUUAAUAUAUAUAUAUAUAUAAUAAAUAAAAGUUUUAAAAAUAAAGUGAAAUUUUUUUUUAUAAAAUUAUUUAAUUUAAUUUAAUAUGAAGCUAUUAAAUUUUAUUAAUAAACUAGGAUUAGAUACCCUAUUAUUAAAAAUGUAAAUAAUAAAAUCUAAAUUAUUAAUAGAUAUAUUCUUUAAAAUUAAUAAAUUUGGCGGUAUUAUAAUCUAAUUAGAGGAACCUGUAUUUUAAUUGAUAAUCCACGAUAAAUUUUACUUAAUUUUGUAUUCAAUUUGUAUACCGCCGUUAUCAGAAUAUUUUAAUAGAAAUAAAAUUUUCUAAAUUUUUUAUAUAAAAAUGAUUUCAGGUCAAGGUGCAGUUUAUAAUUAAGUAUAUAUGGGUUACAAUAAAUUUAUUUAAAUGAAUAUAAUUAUUGAAAUUUAAUUAUUAAAGUGGAUUUAAAAGUAAAUUAAAUUAUUUUAUUUAAUUGAUUAUAGCUCUAUAAUAUGUACACAUCGCCCGUCGCUCUCAUUUAUUAAAAUGAGAUAAGUCGUAACAAAGUAGAUGUAUUGGAAAAUGUAUCUAGAAUGUUCAAAUUAUAUCUUAA